rnacentral:rRNA from 1 species
AGAGUUUGAUCCUGGCUCAGAGCGAACGCUGGCGGCAGGCUUAACACAUGCAAGUCGAGCGCGGUCCCUUUCGGGGGAGCUGCGCGGCGGACGGGUGCGUAACACGUGGGCAACCUGCCCUGGGGUGGGGGAUAGCCGUGGGAAACCGCGGGUAAUUCCGCAUACGUUGCUUCUUCGCGCGGGAGGAGCAAGAAAGGGAGCAAUCCCGCCCUGGGAGGGGCCUGCGGCCGAUUAGCUGGACGGUGGGGUAACGGCCUACCGUGGCGAUGAUCGGUAGCUGGUCUGAGAGGACGGCCAGCCACACGGGGACUGAGACACGGCCCCGACUCCUACGGGAGGCAGCAGCAAGGAAUCUUCCGCAAUGGGGGCAACCCUGACGGAGCAACGCCGCGUGGGGGAUGACGCGCUUCGGCGUGUAAACCCCUUUUCUUCGGGAAGAAGGGCUUCGGUCUUGACGGUACCGGAGGAAGAAGGACCGGCUAACUACGUGCCAGCAGCCGCGGUAAUACGUAGGGUCCAAGCGUUGUCCGGAGUUACUGGGCGUAAAGCGCGCGCAGGCGGCGGUGCUGGCCCGGCGUGAAAGCCCCCGGCUCAACCGGGGAGGGUCGUCGGGGACCGCACCGCUUGAGGGCGGUAGGGGCUGGUGGAAUGCCUGGUGUAGUGGUGAAAUGCGUAGAGAUCAGGCGGAACACCCGUGGCGAAGGCGGCCAGCUGGGCCGUCCCUGACGCUGAGGCGCGAAGGCGUGGGGAGCGAACGGGAUUAGAUACCCCUGUAGUCC